UACAGAGGUCUCGAGCGUUGUUCGGAUUCAUUGGGCGUAAAGGGUGCGUAGGCGGCGAGGUAAGUCGGGUGUGAAAUUCCGGGGCUCAACCCCGGAACUGCACUCGAUACUGCUUUGCUCGAGGACUGGAGAGGAGAAUGGAAUUCACGGUGUAGCAGUGAUAUGCGUAGAUAUCGUGAGGAAGACCGGUGGCGAAGGUGGUUCUCGGGACAGUUCCUGACGCUGAGGCACGAAGGCUAGGGGAGCGAACGGG
rnacentral:rRNA from 1 species